rnacentral:rRNA from 1 species
CAGUAGCCACGGUAAUACAGAGGGUGCGAGCGUUAAUCGGAUUUACUGGGCGUAAAGCGUGCGUAGGCGGCUUCUUAAGUCGGAUGUGAAAUCCCUGAGCUUAACUUAGGAAUUGCAUUCGAUACUGGGAAGCUAGAGUAUGGGAGAGGAUGGUAGAAUUCCAGGUGUAGCGGUGAAAUGCGUAGAGAUCUGGAGGAAUACCGAUGGCGAAGGCAGCCAUCUGGCCUAAUACUGACGCUGAGGUACGAAAGCAUGGGGAGCAAACAGGAUUAGAUACCCGGGUAGUCCCUGUCUCUUAUAA